GCCAUAUGAACGUCAUAUGUUUAUUGAGUAUUCUCUAGCUGGAAUGUGAUUAUUACCGACGAAGAAAACCUCGUAUAGUAUAACAGUGCGUGUAUGGAUGGAGUUAUACUAUACGAGGUAGUAUAUGAUGCGAGGCACGGAAUGUCUGAAAACAUCACUUGGUCUACUUUGAGUAUGUUGUGAACCUGCCAUCGUACAACACAAAAGUACUCCGGUUCAACUGGAGCACCAUGUAUGGUCCAAACUGGUCUGGUCUACAACCGUAAAAUUUAGAUAGAAUGUAAGAUAAAUAAACAACCAACAUAGCUAGUGGAUGCCACCAUCAAUCACUCUUUAAACUAUAUAAAUAUUUUAGAAAAUGUCAUUUGAUCAUCUGAUCAGCACGGGCAUUCAAACAGAUUAUUACCUAGCAAACAACUAAACAUCACUUUAUUUUUAGGUAUUUAUCGAUGCAGCAGUCCUCCUUAGCCACCAAUAAAUCUCAACGCUACUCUAACUUGAUCUGGAAUGUUGUCCUUUGCUUCAUUCUCCCUGACCAUCAACAUCUGGACCAUUAGUCGCUUCCUGAGACUUAUUGGAUCCUUCAAAAUAAGCAUAAAAAUAGUCAGAAGAUAUAUUUAGCAAAUAUAUGAAAGUUGUAACCUCGUUACAAAUGUACUUGCAUCAGUCCUAGGCAUGUUAUGAACCAUGUCAUUCCCGAUGGUUUCAUACAGAUGGGCCAUCUCCUGUAAAACUUUGAAUCCGGAGUCCAUGCUGUCACAAAAAAACACAAUAUUGUAAUAGCUAUAUAAGAGCACACACUAAUACCUAAGACAAAUUUAAAACAGUACCGUCGAGGUGAAACAUGAAUAUUCUCUUGUUCGGUCCAUUCCAUAAGUUGGUUGUUCCUAUCAGGGGCCUCCUGUUGCAAGACAAAGCUCAAUUCUUGCUUCACUAAAAGGGCUUCCCUCUGAAGAUCAGUGUCAUGGAAGUCCUCCUCAAACUAAAAUAAAGCCUGGUUCAAAUAAUCAAUCAUGAUAGUCCUCUCCAUUUCCAUUUUCACUGCUAAAAGACCGUAUGAAGAAUCCACGUGUGCCAGUGGGAUAAUAUACUACAUUUGGUAGACAAAGGUAAAUGGCAAACAAGAUACCCAUACUAAUUUAUAACAAUGAUAAAACUCACAAUUGUAGGGGUGUGAAACACGUCGUAUCUUGGAAAAGGUUCAAGCACGACAUUGUUAAUCAGCGCAUUGGUGCGUUGUUCUUGGCUUAACCAAGUCUGCCUUAGCGCCCGUGCUUGCUCAUGGAAUCCCAAAUUAAAAAAAUGUGUCUUUCCAACAGAGCCGGUGCCUGCGCUCCUCUCCGCUGCGACGGUAGUAAUCUUACGGACGGCAAGAUUGAAGCACAACGGAUGGACAACUCCAUCUCCUCUGAUGGUGUCUCGGAUGAUCCGUAGGCUAAUCUUGAUAGGGAAUGGGCGGGGGGCUGUUAAUCUAGAUUGUGCUAUAAAAAGGAAGAACAAGGUUCAUAACAGUCAUAAGUUUAAGUAAACCUAAAGUCAAACAAUUCAACUGUGUUGGUGUCUAUAACAUAUGACUAAUUUAACGAUAGCAUAUAUCACAUUAAAUGACCUAAAAAAGUUUACAGUCUCUACGUAAGUUAAGUAUUUUUGUAUUAUCCACCAGCAAAAACUUUAACAGAUUGCAGUGUUAUAUCACUUGUUCAAUAUUGUUGGGAGUGACUGGGGUGGAAUUAUACGAUAACUUAUAUAAAAAUUAUACAUGUAAAGGGCACUGGACCUAGACGAUGAAGUGCAAACAAGAUUAGAUAUUUAGGGCUGUGAAAACUUACUCUAGUUGUUCUUUGUCUGAGGAAAGCGUGAUGAAAUCGUACACGAAGUCGACUGCGUGUCGCACUCCCCCAAAAAUCGACAUUGCUUCCAUUACCGGGGCAAAACUUCUGUCCUAGCACUGGUAAAGCGAGGGAGGGAUCAGUGGACGACGGUGAAGUCAGGACCCGUAGUAUUUUAUUGAGCAGAGAUGAUGGCCGACGGGAAUUGUGCUUGAAUUGUUAGGAAGGUGCCCCUUAAUGUUCCUUAAUUGCAUGUUUCACUAAGAAAAAACAAUCAUAAAUUAAGGCAAGAUCUUUAUUUUGGUUGCACUAUGCAGAUAAAUCAGAGACAUAUUAAAUGUUUCCUAGUAUAUGCCUCCCUUUCCCCAUAACUUUCGCAAUCUAAAAAUAGAAAGAAAUAGGAUGUACUGGGCGAUUGCGGCAACGCUCGAUGCCCACACGAAAAGUGAUCGCUGCAGCCCCAUCAUUUAACCGGUGGGCCCUGCUGUAUUUCCCUAAUUAAUCUGCCUCCCUGUUUUCAACGGUGUGCCCCGGUGGCUUUCCUCUAAUAAAUCUUUCCCCCUCUUGAUUCAAUAGUUGGCCUCCGUGGGCAUUAUAAACAUUUUUUUUGAACUGCAAAACUUUCAUUCACUUCCUUAAGUUACCGAGCAAGAUCGGUGGCAACAAAACCCUGGGCAAAGGUACGGACAGCACCGGGCCAUAGGUCUGGGUUACCUGCCCCAUAUUGGACCCGAACAACGCUAGAGUGUCUACAAAAUUAUUACAUGCCAAAGGGCAAUGUUCAAUUUAGAAGGAACUAAAAUUCAAAGAAACAUCAAUUAAUAAACCAACAAUAUGGUAGUAAAACCAAACUUCAAUAAUACCAAUACAUCAUAAAGUCUGGAUAGUUUGAUAAUACCAAAACAUCAUAAUUUUUUUAAAUGUACGUGUAUAUAUGCCUGCGUUGGGAUUGCACGAGGUACAGAAGGCUUAGUUAGUUUUUCCAAAAUAAAAAUAUACUGCGUGCGUGCCUUGUUUACUUUUCUGGCUCCCGUGAAAAAAGGAAGGGUGGGGGAGAGAUGGACGAAGGACGACGACGUAAGACAAAAGACGGAACACUACAUUUUCAAGGUAUACUGUAGACGUAGAAUACAUUAUUCAUAUUGUCAAAAGGAUAAUUCUCAAAGGUCCAUGAUAAUUCUCAAACUGUAGUAGCCAUUUAUUUGCGACAUUUCAAUAUGCAUUAGUGCAUAGUCAGCCGUCCAAAAACCUCAAGGCCGCUCUAAUUUCAUCUGGCAUACUUCUAGUGUCCAUUGUUACUCGCUUGAACAACACCAUUGACGUACGCACGUAUUUCAUCAUGUGUCAUGAGGCUGGCUUCAUGGAUAUCUACGAUAAAAAUCAGUGCUAUAUAGUAGUGACAUAGUAUUAUAAAAAAAAUACGUUCAAAACAAAUUUAAAAUAGAACGCAGCCCCUACCUUGUAGAUAAUGAUGACCAUCAUAAAUGUUAGGAGAGAAGAUGAAUGUGCUCUCCCUUAUAGUUUGCAAGCAUCGAUCCCUUUGAUUUACUUGUAUAUAAGUAACAACAAUCUUCUCGAACAGAUUGUCAGUGCACUGCAAAUGGCAGAAGUGACACCCAACGUGUUCUUCACAUACACGUAAGAAUAUUAUCUGCCGUCUACAAACAAAUACAAAAGUGAGUCUAUCAUUGCAACAAUAAAAUUACAAAAAUAAGCAUAUGAAAAACUCAAAUUAUACAAUGGCGCUUAUUGAGAGUUCAUGAGGCCAAUCUUGAGGGAAGGGACGCGGCGGUCAUAUAUUGAAUCCAACUUAUAUUCUAUCUGACCAACGUAUGCAAGGAUAGCAACCACAUCUGCCAAUUUGAAAUCAGAAUGAGACUCUGAGUUAUACAACAUAAUAUACAACAACAAAUGUAAAGAUGAUGCACCAGUGAUGGUUUUGUCCCGUAGCUCAAAUAUUUCUUCAAACUGUGGGAAGCACAGUGGGCAAAUUGUCGACGUUAUUUGCUGUGCCGACAUCCAGACCUCGGUCGUAGAACUUAGUGUGGUGACAAAGUCCAUGUUUAGGUACCAGAAAUGUCCAUCUGGCAUUUCUGUGGGGCUGAACCCGACGCGAUUGAAAUCAUAGGUCCCACCGGUUUGUAGCAUGCUGUUGAAACGGAUUGCCUCGCUGUUGUACGCAAUUGAUUCCAUCUUUGUUCCCUAAAAUAUUUUUAUGAAUCAUAAAACAAUGUGCAAAAAAACAUGUUUUUGUUUCCGUAAAGUAGAUGGUUAGUGCCUUACAUGCCGAUCGAGUAGUAUGCACUGAAGGUACAAGUUUCCCAUGCCAUUCUCUUUGAUGCGAGCCUUCCACAUGACCUUAGCUUGAAUAAUCCAACAGUUCUGAUAUAUGUGCUCCAUUUAGACUCGAUGAAAAUUUAAGUUCCUGUGCGUAGAAUAAAACAAAAGGAUGAAGUAAAAUUAAUUUGCAAGGGGAGCAUAAAAUUAAACAGACAAGGAGCAUAACAUUCUAGUGGCCCAACCCUAAGCAUGUCAAAUUUAUACAUAUUAUUCAUGUUUUUCUUACUUAUUUUCUUGGGGUUGCAUCUCGCAAUAUAAUGCGUAGAUUGAUUUUGUUAUAUUUGGACGGGGUGUUUCGGAGCCAUGGAAAAAAAUUGUAUAUCCUACGGGGUUUGGUUAUAGCAAGAUAAUAUUUUGCAACGAAUAAAAAAAACUAUUAUGUAUUUCAGACUAACUGUCCAUCUAGUUUUAACUAAUAUACAAGAUGAACAAGCCGAGAAAAUCUGUUUUAGUCGCCAAGUCUAUUAAUAUGUUCUAGUCUAUGCCAUGCGCUACAACUUCCAAGAUAAAGACAAGGAGACAAAACAAUGGUGAUUAUUUCAAUAAAAUAAAACAUUAUCAAGUGAUGGCAAAUAGUAGAGCUGAUCUUAUAUCUAGCCUGUUCAUCGAAGGGGUGAUGGGUUGACUGAUGACAGGAGCUGGAGGCGACGCCAUCACCCUCUUAGAGGUGAUUGAACCGUAUGAGAUUACCAUGGUCGUCGUGUAGGAUAUGACUUUUCCUCUAUCGAAAUAUAUGAAGACAAAUAUUGUGCAGCGGGGCUUGUUUUUAUAAGCAUUGAGGGCGGCGGGAAAAUGAAAUAUAUUUGAAUGUUUGUUUUUGGCAAGCUAGGUCCCCGUUGGUGACAUAUCUGUCAGAUCUUUAAUAUUCGGCAACCUAUUAAAAGUUCUUUAUUAAACAAGGAAACAUACAUCUCAAAAUCGGUCCAUGAUCAACCGAAUUGAUUCACAUCAUAUUUAAUUGAUGCAAAUUUGUGAUUUAUGAUAACUUGCCAGGGAAAACGUAUCUGAGAUAUCACAUGCGUAUAGAAUCACAAUUUGUUGCCUAUGAAAGGUUGACUUUCUAUUUCUCACAUAAAAUUAUUUAUUUUUUCCCUUUUAUACUCUGUUUUUUACCAUUAACUUGAUGAUAUCUUUACUUAUGUUAUAGGUAAUUGACCUUGCGUAAAUCACAUCUUUAAUUAAUUUAUAGGUAAUUGCUAACGGACAAUAGACAAUAUUAUUAUUUUAGUAUAAAUCAUGUCUAACACAUAAUUUUACGAUCCUCAUGUAUAUCAAACAAUAUAAUUGGAAUAUGAAUCAUUCAUUCGAACACAGCUUUGCAAAAGAUAAUAUUGUUUAUUAUUGUUCAUCACAACAAUCUUUAAAACACACAUACGUUACAAAUGAGAAACAAUAGUACAACAAAUAAAGAUAAUAGUAGUAGAAGUACGCGCUCCCAUAGAUAGCACACAACAUAAUUUUGUCUAUCUAUGCGUAUGCAUUAGGAGGAACUGUAUUAGACACAUGUCCCUAUUUGUGUAUGCAUUUGUAGAAGCAGCACAUCAGCAACAUCUCUCGGUCACGGAAAAAAUAAACGAUCCAUCUCUCUCUCUCUCUCUCAACGCCUGAGUACUGGUUCUUCUUGCGAAACACGAACAAAUAAGUACUCGGGUUGCUGCUGCUCGUCAGCAUCAAAAUUUUUGCGCCUGGGUAAAACUGCUCUGGCCCUUGGGCCUUUCUCACACACGCAUGCUCUCUCUCCCAUACAGAGCAGCGGAAGCCAUCAAGCCCACGCCGCGGAGAACACACUGGUAAUGAGGUGACAAUUGGAGGUAGACAAAGCAUCCCAAAGAUAGGAGAGGGAACCUUUUGUCUCUUAUAGUUAGUGUAGAUAUAGAUAAAUGAUUUGAGAGUAUCACAUUGACAUCAAGCACAAGUAUGAGAGAACAAGCAAACUAAUAACCCUUGAUUAUUUGAAUCCGAACGAUUACAUUGAUAAAUGCUCAUAAGGAGCAAUGCAACAACUAACAUAAUAAGAAAUACAAAUAACAAUGUAGACCCCCUCAUGCUUGGUCAUUUCAUGGUGGUGGUGGCUUCUUGUCGCAUGCUUGGAUAUGCUUCAUGACCACCUCCGUCAAAUGAUCCAUUUGGUUAAUCAAAGUCUGCACCAACAUGCUAGUACGCUGAUGUGCCUGCAGAAUAUCAUAGUUUUUGGUACCCCAACCAUCUUUCCUUUGUGCAUUUGACCCCGUGUCACGCUGGAUAUCCCAGGCUGAGGGGACAUGUGCACGAGGGAUGUGAUGCACCUCACGGCGUCGGAUUAGGUUAUCAAAGUGGUUUGUGGAAAGAGUGGUUGGGAACUGAAUAGGCAGAUUAUGAUCAUGCAUCUUUAGUUUCUUACACUUUCGUGAGGAUCCCUCACUAAGAACACGAUCUCGGUGCGGUUCUUCAUCUUCCAGUUGACCUAGAUCAUCAGGGUGAAUCUGAUUCGUGUCUUCUUGAUCAUGAUGGUUAUCCUCGGAACUAUUGGAUGACGACAUGUCAAAGAAAAUGGAGUGGCAAGGGUGGAGCGUUCUGGUUUGGGUGAUGCAAGGGUGGAGCGUUCUGGUUUGGGUGGUGCAAGGGGGUAGCAAUUUAUAGAUGUUUAUAAGGAACGCAGAUUAGAAAAUCCCUCUAUGAAGCAACCGAGAUGAUCACAAUCACAAAAUAAAAUCUUCUAGAAUCAGAUAGGAUUCGGCGUGAUCAAACCAGUAGUAGUUUACAAUGAAAAACAAUGAACAUGCCAUUAAAUAAACUAACACUACUAAUUUUAAUGUCACCAACCCCUUUGGAGAUAUAACAGAAAUACAUUUAAGGCUGAUGAUACACGUUCUGAUUUGAUGACAUGGUUGGUGAUUGGCAUGAUCACUUGCCGUCAUAUACUAUUUGUUCCCGAAUAUUAUAUGGGGGAUUUUGGUCAUUAAAUAAAUUAACUUGCCAUCAUCAAAUAGUUUUUAUAUGGAUAUUUACUAUGUCUGUCGAAAUUAAAUUUAUUAUAAUUCCUUUUCCUGUUUUAUUAAGUUAUUUUCCAUUUAUAGUAAAUAUUUUUAUUUGAACAACUUUUUUUGAACAUCAUUUUUUGAGCACCAAUAUAAUUUGAGCACAUUAAAUUGAGCGUCAAGAUGGCGUCAAACACAUUAAUUUGAGCACCAAUAUAAUAAUUAGGAAGAUGUGGGACAAAUAUUAGACACUCAUACACACUAAUACAGCUGAAGGCAGUAAAAACAUUUUGAAAUCCAUGUAUGCUUUCGGAAUUUUCAUGACCCUGCAUGCUUCAUCAAUGCUAAAAACUGAACAGAGUUUAACACUGAUUGGAGCAAACCAAAUGUUAGACACUCAUAAAGCUCAAGGGAGUAAAAGAAUUUCAAAUACAUAACUAUAUAUACUAACAACAAGCCUUGAUAGCUAUCAAUGUACAUGAAAAAGGAAUAGCAUAUAAAACUGGAUGGAACAAAUAAAAUAUUACACACUCAUAAACACUCAUAAAGCUCAAGGCAGGAAAACAACUUCAGAUACACGUAUGAUUGCAGCCUUUUCAUGAGCAUUUAUGAUUUAUUCAUCUCGAGCACACAUAACAUAUGUAAACCAAUGUAUCACACGCACUGAUGGUGACAAGACAUAUUUGCUCAAUGUUGCAAUUAAACUAUAUAAAAUAAUUUUAACAUGAUCCAGCUCUUCAUGAAGCCAAUCAUUAUUUCUGAUUCUCAUAUUACACAAGACAUAGUACACUGUGUGACAUGUACAUUGUCAGAUUACACAUAACACAGAAUAAAUUUAUUGAAAUACAGUUAUUACUUGAACUGACUGGUGUAUACCUCAAACAACCAAGAUACCAAAUGAAAAUAUAUGUCAUAGGACCGAAUUACAGCAAUUCUUGCCCAUCGGAAUAGUAAAUUGCAUAUGUAAAUCCAGCAGGACUAUUUAGACCAGACUUCUGCCUGUAAGUACUUCCUUGUAGACGAUGUUCUGCAUUGAGGUCAGCAAGGACACGGUCGGUCUUUUUCGCUUCUUCGGAUUGUUAUGUUGCUUGUUGGACUUCUCCUUUGGCUUCUCCUUCUGAAUUAGUAUUUUUAUGUUUCUCUUUGCGGUGGCUCGAGACAAAGCAACAUAGAGUUGACCAUGAGAGAACACCGGAUUAGGUAGAUACACACCAACAACCGGGAUCGUCUGCCCCUGAGCCUUGUUAAUCGUCAUAGCAAAGCUAAGCCUUAUAGGAAAUUGCUUCCUCUUAAACUUGAAUGGAAACAUGUCGUUGUCAGAUGGGCACAUAGGUAUUGAAGGAAGACCCUCCUACCAGCGUGUUGUCCAAUAACGAUUUCUGCAUCAAUGGUGUUCCUCUCAAAACCUCUAACAACAAGCCUAGUCCCGUUACACAACCCAUUAGCUGGAUCAAUGUUCCUUAGAAGUAUAACCGGGCAGUUCAGCUUUAGUUUGAGUGCAUGUGGAGGAAGACCAUUGGGAGUCAAUCCGUUCAGAAACUCAGGAGCGCAGUAGCCAUGUGGGUCGUCCUCCGCACUGUCAAAGCUAUGGUAGAUUACUUCAUCUCCGUGGAAACGCUCUAUCAUGCGGAUGUUUAUCUCGUCGACGUUGUCAUUUGUCGUGGAAAGGAUGGCGCGAGAUGUCAUGUAAUUCGAAUCAGCCAUGUUGUCAUCUAGACUCGGAAACACGUGGUCAAUCAGCUUCUCCAGGUCGUCAACCUCGCCUUUAGAUGGUAGACAAAUAUCAUCAGGGAGUAGUAUGUUGCCUUGAUCGUCGGCUUCCUCUGUACCAUUACCGACCCUGGGCAAGUAAUCUGCAAACCACGUGUCAUUAUGAGCCCUCAUGUUGGUGAUGAGCCGAAGCUGCCGCAUACUCUUCCAUAGAUGAGAACUUCGGAGGCUUGCAUCAAUUAUCUGGCCCCAUGACCCCCUUCUAACGACCGGAAGCACCUGCCUAAAGUCCCCACCAAAAACAACAGUCUUUCCUCCAAAGGGUCGGUCGCGUAUUCCCAUGAUGUCGCGCAUGCUAUUGUCUAAUGCCUCAACCGCUUGUCGCUUAGUCAUGCUGGCCUCGUCCCAUAGUAUCAAUGAGGCCAUCCUUAGCAGCUUGGCGGUUCCACUCUGCUUGGUGAAGCUGCACGAGGCUCCAUCAUCGCAACUCAAUGGGAUUUUGAACCUCGAGUGGGCAGUCCUGCCGCUAGGCAUGAUAGAAGCAGCGACGCCCGGCAUCGAGGUAGCGAUAGCAAUCUUGCCAUCGCUCCUCACCUUGGCGAGCAUCACCCUGUAGAGGAAGGUCUUCCCCGUACCUCCAGGGCCAUCAACAAAGAAUAUACCCCCAUCACCGUGUUCAACAGCCGCUAGUAUCUCGUCGUAUGCAACCCUUUGCUCAAAAUUCAGGGAAGAUGCCAAUUUAGUGUCACUUUCGUCAAACUCAACAGUUGAUUCCUCGAUGAUCUCUCUAGCCUCUCCCUCGGUUGGGUCAAACGCAUCAUUGAUCGUUGGAAGAUCGAAAUCAAUAAUGUCUUUACCCAUAGACUGCAACAUACCCCUAAUGUCAAGCAACACCAUCUGCUACACCUCGUUCUGAGACGUGCAUGUCCGACGGUAGUCAUCAGACAUAGGAUCAAGGUGUCUAUCCCAUAAACCGUGCACAUUGCCUGGCUCGCAGUGCACCAAGAUUGUUGCAAAGAGCCUCCUAAGAGAGCAUGGCAUAGCCCACUGCUCCGCCUCAGUAAGACAGUCGUCGAGCGUGUUGUCUGCCUCGAUGAGUCCCAACCUUUCACCGGCCUCUCUAAAGCUCUCACAUACCACGCUGUCGACGGUGAGCAAGUCCUCAAAUCCUGUUUCCCCCGGAACAUGGUUCAACAACACACGAAGGUAGUAUCGCUCCCCCUCGGCAGGAUUGGCAGACACGAUACGACCUAUUUGAAAAUGCUCCACCCGCAUCUUCCAAAAUUUCUUUCUCUUCUCCCACGUGAAGCUUCCGGGGAAAUCCUUGUACAAUAUAUGCCUUGCCCAAGGGUGUUUUUCGUUUGCCUUGAAAUACUCUAUUAACAUGGAUUUUGAAGCAUUCUCGAAGGAUACAACAUUCUUCAAGUCAGCUUGUGCAUUGAAUGCAACCCUGUGCAUAUUCGAGAUAUGAAGAGGCAACUGCAAGACAGGCGGAUAAUUGGCACAUAGUGGGAAACCAAAUAUCCUCCACAUAGCCUCCGGAGGAAUGAAGAGGCAUCUUGCGUCAACGUAUCUCUUAAUCUCAUCAAUGUUUCCAUCAACGUCUGGCUGGUCGAUGCUGAAAGAAGCCUUAUCAUGACCCUUAUAGAUGUACUUAUAAAUGUAUUUUACAGCCUUUAUGCUAGAGGAGACCUCGACGUUGAUGUGGCAAUUAAACAUCCACAGAAGGUACAGGUUAUAUGGCACAACCCAUCAGUUGUCCAACAUUUUCCCUCGAACCUUAGCGCGUCUACCAUCGUCUCUACGCUGAUAAACUAGGUAUGAGUCCUUGCCUUGUACCGUGUUCUCAUUGAACGGCCGUGGGUAUCUGCAUUUGCAUUCAUUAUCUUGCAUGCAAACAUUCUUCGGGUUGAGAGCACCGCAUGGUCCAUGCAUCAUAUGUUUUACCACCAUUGCAUACAAUUCCGGAUACUUCUGCUUGUCUGGGGGCUCUGCGGAAAUGAGUCGGUCAUACUGCUCUGGGACAAGAAGCUUAUACGUUGAAUCCAUGAUCAACAAAAAAUGUGCGUGGGGGAGGCCUCUCUUCUGGAACUUUACUACGUACACAUAAGCAACAACAACACCCAGGACCAUCUUCUUGAGCAACAUAUCUUUCAUAGCCUCUAGUUUGCCAUAGAACACGCGAGCCACAAUAUCAGGUCGGUCUUGCGCUGUCUGUCCAGCAACUCAUUUGUUAUCUCUUCCCAUUUAGGGUUGCAAGUCAUGGUCAAGAAGAUGUCAGGUUUCCCGUAUGUAUGGACAAUUUCCAUGGCAUCCAUAUGUUUCUUCUUCAUGUCGCGGUCGCCACCAGGGUAAGUUCCAGGGAGCACUAUUCUUUUACCAACAACGCUUGCUCGCGUCUCCCCUGAUGUGAUCGCAUCAACAACUCCUUUGUACAAAUCGACACGGAUCUGCGUCUGGUUCUUCCUGUACCACCUCAACCGACAGCUCUCAAUCUUGAUGUACAUGUCAACCGCCCAUUGCUGCAGAAGGCGUGCUCCACAGAGUAUUGGAUUGAAGAUCGCAUGCCGUGUUUGCAACAUGUAACAGUAGUAAUCUCUCACGGAGACGCAUAACCUACUAUUCCCCUCUGCACAUGUUUGAGAACCAUCGCGUGAGCAUUAUUGGUUGAAACAAGAAAUUAUUUAUAUCAAAGUGGGAGACAAACGACAUACCUGCAUCAUCCUCAUCACCAUGAUACAAACAAGAAUUUUGUACAACCUCCCAAGAAACAUUACGUUUGGGUAGCUUCGAAUGCCAACCUAGCUCCCCCAUUGGAUAAAAUAAUGGAUAAGACAAUGGGUCAUAUGCCCCUGAGGUCACACGUAUACUAUGCAUUUCGUUGUUGUUACCACAAAGUGUUAUCCUGCGGUCAAACCUUUUUGCUAAGUCAGUGCCCUCAACCCAAAUUGCAGCGACCUUAGAUGACACCGGUCUAUUAUAUCUUCUUUGGUCAAGCCUCUUAUCAGUGUUUAGGUCUAUCCUAUAAUCAUCGAGGUUGUCCUUGUGUGCACCCAAACUCCUAAAUUGCUGGGAGUAUGGGUUUCCUUUCAGUAUGUCUACUAACCUCUUCACGACAUCCUGAUCUAACUGCUUGGUGGCCGCCUUACGAUGAUCUAGGUUAGGGUCGUCGUCAUAGAAGUACAACUGCAGAUGUUCUGUACGGGAGCUAGGCCCGAACGAAUGGACAUUGUGGUAGAUGGUGCCGUGUGCUCGGAAUGUGUACACCCCAGACUUCAUGUUUGUGUAGUUUUCAUCAAGGCUGACGCCAAGGGUUGUGAAGGUGAAAUGCCCGUUGAAGAACCGUAUGUUCUCCCGAAAAUGUCUAGAAUCUGCAUCCAUGCUGGACCAUAGCCUCAUAAGCUUUGGGAUUGGUUCUGGUUUCUUAAGCUGGAUCAGGCCAUUGCGACAACAGAAGCCGUCAGUCUCAGACUCAAACUUCCUGGCAUUACAGUGUUUGCAAUUUUCGUCGAGCUUCAGGAUGUGAGUGCUGUUUGGAAUGUUCGAGUAGACAGUGUCAAAUGGAUCAAGCUCGCUAGUUUUAGCGCUAGACAUGCUCGCUUCCUCGUCAUCAUCCAAUAUGUCAUUAUCGACGCCUACGGGGCAUUUAUUGAAAAAUCACGUUGACACCAGUAAAUUUGAAUAAAUGACACAACAAUAAAGCUCGACAGUGUCAUAGUGUAGAGUUGGCGAUACCUUCGUUGCAAAACAUGUAGUACUCCUUGUCAAUCAAGUCGUGUGUUUCCUGCUCAUCGCCCAUGGUGCCGCUUUGGAAUAUAUUGAUGUCUUAUGCAUUGUCGUCGUACAGAAUGCGACAACAAACAAGAUAAUGUUAAAACAACAUGCUGAGAAUGAGCAUAAUAAGCUGAUAAUCGCAAUUUCAUACCAUCGGCACCGGCAGUGUAUCUCGGCAUGUUCGUCCCCGGAUCGCCAUCAGUUGAAUCAUUUGCGUCCCGAGAGGCGGGUGAUGCACGGCUUGGGGAAGUGGGACAUUCAGAGGUUGAGCUUGCUAGGCCUGUAAGGGGGAUCACGAUGCAUUCGUUGCAUGGUGUUUUUUUCCUUCUGUCAUAAUUGGCCUUCCUGUGUGCACUUGACUCUCCCUUCUCAAUCACCGACAUGCUUUUGCGGCGCUGCACGCGCUUCUCUCGUAUUUUUUCAUUCUUUUGUUCUCUGACCUCCACCGUUAAUUCGUCAUUUUUCUUCUGACGGCAUGCCUUGCUACUCGCGUUUUUCUGCACCCUUUGCUCGUCUGUUAAAUACUUAAAUUACGUUCCGCUCAUUGUCACUUUGCCUCCUAGCUAGAACAGUGUCCUGAAUGACAGACGCGUGUAAAGUUGAAGGGGGACAUGUAGCUCUGUCUUUCAUUAAGUCUGUAACGCUAGAGCAAUUCAGGUCGUCUGGUUCAAUAAUAUUUUCAAGACGUAGUUAGAACAGUUUGAUUUUUUGGCACUGGAGGAGCGCCAUCUAGAAUAGUAGGUCCUGAUAACGAAAGUGAUAUUGGACAUAAGCGUAUACCUGAAGUAUCAGAUGGACGUUUGUUUUGAUCUUUGAUACGCUUAUCCUUGUUCCUCCAAUAAGCAGCUCGCCGCAGGGCGUUUCUAUGGUCUCUUGCGUUCUUCUUCUGUUUUUUGCUCUAUUUCUCGUGUGCCAUUCAAAAUUACAUCUGGAAUAUAGUUCACACGUUCCAGAAAAUUAGGGAUCAUACCACUUAGAUGCUAGCAAUUGCUGUUUGAGUAGGAACAAAUUUGAUUACCUUGUAGCUCGUUGUCAUUAACGAUCCCAGAUGAGACCGUAGUUGUAUCAGGAAAUGUUGACGCAUCAUGCGAGAAUGAUGUAUACCUAGUGGCUUUGUCUGGUGAACCAAAGUUGUCCAAACAUAUUAAGCAUUAAUUAAUUAGACGGUACUAACCAUAAUGGUUAAAUCAUUAUAAGUUUACCUGCUAAAUUUUGGGUCAGUGCAUGUUCAACUUGGGCAUUAGGUUGCUUCUUCCGCCGAUAGGAAGCCCUCCUCAGGGCGUUUCUAUGGUCUCUCUUGCGUUCUUCUUCCGUUUUUUGCUCUGUUCCUAGGGUGUCAUUCAAGAUUACAUUCACAUCUGGUGUCAUUCAGAACAUUCCCAAAUAUUAGAGAAUAAAAUAGAUACAUGCAAGCAAUUGAUGUAUGAGUAGGCACAAUAUGCUUACCUGGAAGCUCGUUGUCAUAGCUGAGUCCAGAUGAAACUGUGCUUGAACACGGAAAUGUUUUAGACCUGGUUGGGUUGUCUGGUGAAGCAGAAUUCAUCAGCCAUAUUAAUGCUUGUUGGUUACGACGGUACCGACUAUAAUGUUUAAAACAUUUCAAACUUACCUGAUAAAAUAGGGAUACAUUGGUUUUCAUCUAGGACAUUAGGUUGUUUUUUCCGCCGAUAUGACACCCUCCUAAGUGCUUUUCUAUGGUCUCUCUUGCGUUCGUCUUCCAUUUUAUGAUGUGUUUCUUGGGUGUCAUUCAAGAUUAUAUUGUCAUCUAGUGUCAUUCAGGGCAAACUGUUAAAUUAGAGAAUAAAACGGUAACAAGCCAGCCAUUGUUGAAUGAGUAUCAUGGUUAAAACCCUUUAAGCUUACCUGCUGAAUAAAGGGCAUGUGCAUUUUCAUCUCUGUCAUUAGGUUGUUUUUUCCGCCGACAGUUAGCCCUUUCAAGGGCGUUUCUUUGUUCUAUGUUGCAAAAAUCUUCUGUCAUUAUCGUAUUGUCUUUGGUGUCAUCAAAGUCACAUAAUCAUGCCAUUCACCUCAUUAUUUCUAAAGCCAAAUGAGAAAACACAACUUGACAUCUAAUGACAACAAAGAUGGUGAUAUCAUAUUACCUUUUUUAUCUCUCAAACAAAGGACACCCGAUGUGACCAUAGCUUCCGAGGGUAUGUUGCAUCAUUAGUCGAGACUGAUGUAUUCUUCGAGCUGGCUGAAUAAUAUGAUUCAACAAGCUUGGUCAGUAAUUCUACAAAUUGUGUAAAAAGUAACUACCUUCCUGCAAACACAUCACAUACGGGACGUGGAUCAAUUUACCAACCAUGAUAAUCUGGCGUGGCUUUAUUUAUCUCCCUAUCUUCGAGAACAUUUGUGAUAUCACAUAGAGAUCAGCGACGGGCUGACUGCCCACUGACUUGUUGGUAAUCCAAACCAUUUGUCUUGUUAUUUCGAUAAGCCGCCCGCCUACGAGCGUUGAUAAGUUCCCCAUGAUCUAAUGAGCAACAUAGUAUGAGCAUCAUAUUAUCUCAAAUCAGGUAUAUAGGUUAAUAGAACGAAUCAUGUGCAUACUAUAUGUCUGCAUAUCAAACUAAGAGCAUCCAGCAACCUCACGUUAAUGAACUCACCAGAUUUUGCAAGUACAGGCCGAUUCUCCUCUUGUAAACUGAUAAUAUCCUCAUUUUUUUUCUUCCGAUAAGCUGCACGCUUCCGUGCAUUGUACUGCUCCCUUGCUUCCUCAGCGUAUUUUUUAGAUUCAUGAAUUAGAGCUCCAGUUUCAAGCUGUUUGGAAACUGUGUUGUCUGCAUCAUGUUAUAAGUUCAAAUCAAAAAACAAAUAAAACACACUGAACCACCACUGCACAAGCCGGUUGGGAAGGUGGAUACCUUCAGUGUCAACUCGUAGCUCCGUCAGAUUAGCCGGAGCCGUUUGACCAUCAGCAUGGUACCCAGGCCUUACCCAUUCUGAUCCAUCUGUAGAUUUCUAGUCAGCAUGAAUACAAAACCAAUGUCUGCCUGGUAUCCAGGCAAACAACAAACCAAUAUCUGAUCAAUGAUGUACCUGUUUCCGUCGUGUAAAUUGGGUCAACAUUUGCAGUUACGGUUACGAUGCUUGAAUUAGAUUCUAUCAGAUUUGUCUCGCUCGUAGGGGCUGCAACACAAUUAGCAUGGUUCUUAAUCUCAGUCACCAGCAUUCUAUCAGAUUUGUCAGAUAUGCACGUCAGGCAAUACAGCUCAGUAUUCUUCACAAAGAUAUAUACCGGGUUCCGUUGCGUAAUUAGCUUCAUCUUGUUCAUCAAAGGGUAUCAAGGUUGCACUGUAUUCAUCAUGAUUUGUACCGCUCGUCUGACCUGCAACACAUUUUGCUAAAAGAUUGUUAUUGUCAUAAAUGCAAGUAAAAUUGGUGCAAUGCUUAUUACCUGUAACUACGACCUCUUCUAGUUGAUGUUCAUCGUCCUUGCUUUUUGCAUUACCCAUUCGCAAAUGUAAUGACCGAUAUCUCCAACUUGUGUCUGUCUGAGAUGUUUUUGAGGCCUGGAAGAAACUUAAAGGAAACUUGACUUGGAUGGAGAUAGUAGAUGCAAGAUGAAAGCAAGAAAGAUGGCGCAUGAGCAAGAGUUACCUAUUUGGAUGGCUGGUAGAUUAGAAGAUCAGGAUGUUCUCUCAUAUUGUUGUCAGCCAUAAUCUGUUUUGUCAGAGUUACAGAUCUACAGAUUUUGCUGCUAUUUGGAUGUCUGGUAUAUAGCUAUUAUCUCUUUUUGUCAGAGUUACAUAUCUACAGAUUUUGCUGCUAUUUGGAUGCCUAGUAGAUUACAAGAUCUACAUAUCUCUAUUUGUAUCAUGUGGUGCCUCUGAUGCCUGUGAUGCCUGACAUGUAUGUGGUGGCUGUACAUUCUUAAAACUGUGAUUAUGUGAUGCCUGUGAUGGCUGUAGA